AGCCUCAAUUCGUAGGGGCAUGGACUCUGCAAAGGGUCAAAAGCAUUCCACUGGGGUGCUGGUCCAUAUACUGUACAUGAUUCAUCAAGCCCUUCUCUGUCAAGGCAGAGUUAGAGGAAGAUAUGUAGCCUGGCAAAAGCAACUGACAUGGGCUGCACGUCAUCCAGGCUACCCAUCAGAGGACCCAGAGGACUUGCAGGUGACCAAGCGUUUCCAGGCCUUCUGGACUCUCCAGAAGAAGUCCCGGAUGCCUUUCCUCAUCUUGGAUAAUUUAACUGGCAAGAAGAUGAAAAUAUGAAUACUCACGCAUAGGUGGAGAAUCCACAAGCAAUGUACAUCUCUGGCUGGUUUGUAGUGUCUGUAAGGACGAUGCUCAUGUUGGACUGUGAUCAGAAUUCAAGGAUGCACAAUUCAACUUCAAUUUCACUUCCUUUACAUAUUCCUAUAAAUUAUACAGCUAUACUUACUGGUGCCGAUAUCAAAAAGCACAACCAAUGACCAUUCAAGAGUAAUCUGAGCUUGUCUUACCUUUCUGUUGGCGGCAUAAUGCACCCCCUCAGAUUCCAAAUCCUCCACAUCAUCACUGCAUGAGUCUUCAAGGUCUGAGGUCUCACGGUCAUAUGGGUUGGAAACUGAGGGUUUUAAGAUGGCCAGUAGCUUGUGGGAAACAAUGACAGAGACAAUGGAAAGCAUCUCCUGAUCCUCAAAUAAAUCGUCAAUUUUCAAGGA